CGCUGGCGGCGUGCUUAACACAUGCAAGUCGAACGAUGAUCCGGUGCUUGCACCGGGGAUUAGUGGCGAACGGGUGAGUAACACGUGAGUAACCUGCCCUUGACUCUGGGAUAAGCCUGGGAAACUGGGUCUAAUACCGGAUAUGACUCCUCAUCGCAUGGUGGGGGGUGGAAAGCUUUUGCGGUUUUGGAUGGACUCGCGGCCUAUCAGCUUGUUGGUGAGGUAAUGGCUCACCAAGGCGACGACGGGUAGCCGGCCUGAGAGGGUGACCGGCCACACUGGGACUGAGACACGGCCCAGACUCCUACGGGAGGCAGCAGUGGGGAAUAUUGCACAAUGGGCGAAAGCCUGAUGCAGCGACGCCGCGUGAGGGAUGACGGCCUUCGGGUUGUAAACCUCUUUCAGUAGGGAAGAAGCGAAAGUGACGGUACCUGCAGAAGAGGCGCCGGCU
rnacentral:rRNA from 1 species